UACGUAGGGGGCAAGCGUUGUCCGGAAUCAUUGGGCGUAAAGCGCGUGUAGGCGGCUUCGUAAGUCCGUUGUGAAAGUCCAGGGCUCAACCCUGGAAUGCCGAUGGAUACUGCGGAGCUAGAGUCCGGAAGAGGCGAGUGGAAUUCCUGGUGUAGCGGUGAAAUGCGCAGAUAUCAGGAGGAACACCAAUGGCGAAGGCAGCUCGCUGGGACGGUACUGACGCUGAGGAGCGAAAGCGUGGGGAGCAAACAGG
rnacentral:rRNA from 1 species